ensembl:snRNA U6 U6 spliceosomal RNA
UUGCUUGCUUUGUCAUCAAAAUAAAAUUUGAACAAUACCGAGAAGAUUAGCAUGGCCUCUGUGCAAGGAUGACACACAACUUUGUGAGAAGCGUUUCAUACUUUU